rnacentral:rRNA from 1 species
GACGAACGCUGGCGGCGUGCCUAAUACAUGCAAGUCGAGCGGAUCUCUUCCUUCGGGGAGAGGUUAGCGGCGGACGGGUGAGUAACACGUAGGCAACCUGCCUGUAAGCCUGGGAUAACUACCGGAAACGGUAGCUAAGACCGGAUACGUGCUUUGGCGGCAUCGCCGAAGCUGGAAAGACGGCGCAAGCUGUCGCUUAUAGAUGGGCCUGCGGCGCAUUAGCUAGUUGGUGAGGUAACGGCUCACCAAGGCGACGAUGCGUAGCCGACCUGAGAGGGUGACCGGCCACACUGGGACUGAGACACGGCCCAGACUCCUACGGGAGGCAGCAGUAGGGAAUCUUCGGCAAUGGACGCAAGUCUGACCGAGCAACGCCGCGUGAGUGAAGAAGGUCUUCGGAUCGUAAAACUCUGUUGCCAAGGAAGAACGGCUUGGGGAGUAACUGCCCCGAGUUUGACGGUACUUGAGAAGAAAGCCCCGGCUAACUACGUGCCAGCAGCCGCAGUAAAAC